AUUGAACGCUGGCGGCAGGCUUAACACAUGCAAGUCGAGCGGAGAUGAGGUGCUUGCACCUUAUCUUAGCGGCGGACGGGUGAGUAAUGCUUAGGAAUCUGCCUAUUAGUGGGGGACAACAUUCCGAAAGGAAUGCUAAUACCGCAUACGUCCUACGGGAGAAAGCAGGGGAUCUUCGGACCUUGCGCUAAUAGAUGAGCCUAAGUCGGAUUAGCUAGUUGGUGGGGUAAAGGCCUACCAAGGCGACGAUCUGUAGCGGGUCUGAGGGGAUGAUCCGCCACACUGGGACUGAGACACGGCCCAGACUCCGACGGGAGGCAGCAGUGGGGAAUAUUGGACAAUGGGGGGAACCCUGAUCCAGCCAUGCCGCGUGUGUGAAGAAGGCCUUAUGGUUGUAAAGCACUUUAAGCGAGGAGGAGGCUACUGAGACUAAUACUCUUGGAUAGUGGACGUUACUCGCAGAAUAAGCACCGGCUAACUCUGUGCCAGCCGCCGCGGUAA
rnacentral:rRNA from 1 species